AUUGGACUCGCAGGCAUUUUGCCUUGGAAGUGUAGUAUCGGUUCUUAUUAGUGUGACAACUGAUACCAACAGGAGACCUGCUUGUCACAAUCUUUUUUCUGGGGAAGUGUCUUCAUGAGCUCAGCUUGGGCCACUUCAGGGGCACCCGGUGUGUGGGCCGGUCCCAGUUUGG
rnacentral:snRNA from 1 species